rnacentral:misc_RNA from 1 species
GAUGAAGAACGCAGCGAAAUGCGAUAAGUAAUGUGAAUUGCAGAAUUCAGUGAAUCAUCGAAUCUUUGAACGCACAUUGCGCCCGCGAGUAUUCUCGCGGGCAUGCCUGUCCGAGCGUCAUUUCAACCCUCAGGGCCCGCCUGCUUCGGCAGGCGCGGCGCUGGUGUUGGGAAUCGGCCUAACCGCCGUCCCCCAAAUACAGUGGCGGUCUCGCUGCAGCCUCCCCUGCGUAGUAGCAACACUCGCAUGCGGAGCGCGGCGCGGCCACGCCGUAAAACCCCCGACUUUCUGAACGUUGACCUCGGAUCAGGUAGGAAUACCCGCUGAACUUAAGCAUAUCAAUAAGCGGAGGA